rnacentral:rRNA from 1 species
GACGAACGCUGGCGGCGUGCUUAAAACAUGCAAGUCGAACGGACUUCUCAUGAAGCUUGCGAUUGAGAAGUUAGUGGCGGACGGGUGAGUAACGCGUGGGCAACCUGCCUCUGAGCCCGGGAUAACAGUUCGAAAGGACUGCUAAGACCGGAUAUACUUGCGGUGAAGCAUUUCACUGCAAGGAAAGGGAACGCUCAGGGAUGGGCCCGCGUCCCAUUAGCUAGUUGGUGAGGUAACGGCCCACCAAGGCGACGAUGGGUAGCCGGCCUGAGAGGGUGAACGGCCACACUGGGACUGAGACACGGCCCAGACUCCUACGGGAGGCAGCAGUUGGGAAUCUUCGGCAAUGGGCGCAAGCCUGACCGAGCAACGCCGCGUGAGUGAUGAAGGUUUUCGGAUUGUAAAGCUCUGUCUUCCGGGACGAUAAUGACGGUACCGGAGGAGGAAGCCACGGCUAACUACGUG